AACGAACGCUGGCGGCAUGCCUAACACAUGCAAGUCGAACGAGACCUUCGGGUCUAGUGGCGCACGGGUGCGUAACGCGUGGGAACCUGCCCUUAGGUUCGGAAUAACUCCCCGAAAGGGGUGCUAAUACCGGAUAAUGUCUUCGGACCAAAGAUUUAUCGCCUUUGGGUGGGCCCGCGUUGGAUUAGCUAGUUGGUAGGGUAAAAGCCUACCAAGGCGACGAUCCAUAGCUGGUCUGAGAGGAUGAUCAGCCACACUGGGACUGAGACACGGCCCAGACUCCUACGGGGAGCAGCAGUGGGGAAUAUUGGACAAUGAGCGAAAGCCUGAUCCAGCAAUGCCGCGUGAGUGAUGAAGGCCUUAGGGUUGUAAAGCUCUUUUACCCGGGAUGAUAAUGACAGUACCGGGAGAAUAAGCACCGGCUAACUCCGUG
rnacentral:rRNA from 1 species